rnacentral:rRNA from 1 species
UACGUAGGGUGCGAGCGUUAAUCGGAAUUACUGGGCGUAAAGUGUGCGCAGGCGGCCGAGCAAGUCGAGUGUGAAAGCCCCGAGCUUAACUUGGGAACUGCGCUCGAAACUACUUGGCUAGAGUGUGGCAGAGGGAGGUGGAAUUCCACGUGUAGCGGUGAAAUGCGUAGAGAUGUGGAGGAACACCGAUGGCGAAGGCGGGUCUCUGGGACGGUACUGACGCUGAGACGCGAAAGCGUGGGGAGCGAACAGG